UUUUUUUAUUUUUAUUAUCUUAUUUUUUUAUUUUAAUACGGUUAUACUCGUUAUUUUGACUACAAAAAAUGAAUUUGAGUUUGAUCGAACCAAUAACUUACGCGUAGUGAAUUUUUGAUGUAAUGGUUUUAUUUUCAAUUUUCUACUUGUAACUCUUGUAUGUUUAUUAUUUAUUUGAUUAAAACAAUGAGAAAAAGUUAUUUCAGCAUGAAAAAAUAAGUUUUUUAUUUUUUGUUAAAUAAGUGCAUACGGUAGAAAAGUUCGCGUUAUGUCAAAAUAUCAUUAAUAAUUGGUACUUAAAUCAUCUGCAAGGAUAUUACGGUAU